UCGAUUUAGCUACACUUCAAGGUCUCCUUUGCAAAACGUACCAGCAGCCAACCUCUUAGAUAGAUCCUGUCCCUUCCAUUAGGAUCUGAGGGCUCAUGUGUAGCUGGUGCAUCUGGUGCACGAGUUCUCUUGUUGCACAGGAUACAUUGCCUAUAUAUAUAUAGGAGUACAUGAUCUACUUGAAGUACAAGACAAGCCAGAAUACUUCCUAGUCUAUCCGAUGUUUCCAAUACAAUCACGUUACUCAACACUUGUAGUGGCACAAGAUGAGCCCAGUGAGACCGACAGAAAGAAAAGGGAUGUUUGAGAUCACAUUCAACGUAUUAGGGAUCCCUGCAAAAUAAAUCAAACAAAACAGUAAUGAUCAGUACUAAGACUAUUUUGCUGCUCUUGAUCUGUACCAUUGUUUGUUAGUAUCAAUAUCAAAGUAUGCAGAAUGCCCAAGCACUCGCGUUAGGACAUAGGAGCCAUAUAAUCAAGCAAAGCAUACAAUUCUGAGCAAUCAGAAGCAUUUCCUUCCUGUACUAACCAAAAAAUUAAUUCAGCUGAACCUAUACUUCACUCGCUCCCCAGUUGCCCCUCUUCUCGCCUCAAUCAUGUUGUCGUACUCGUUAAAGCACGAAUCUAAGGGGCUAACAACAGCAGGAUUCACGGGCAGCGCACAACUAAUAUAACCAAAGCAACCGAUAGUGCUGGCAAUCAGAAGCAUUCCCUGUACCGAAAAAGGCUUUCGCCCCGCUUUAUAUUAUAAAGCCAACCGCACCACAAGCAUUCAACAAGGUCCAACACAAAACCACGCACACACACGAAAGUCCACAGGAACAAAAGGUACAAGAAAGGGUCAAUGCUGAGGACACAGCACAACAAGCCCUAAACCCAAAACACACACGCCAUACAGCCGCCAGGCGGUCUAGUCAGGCUCAGGAGGAGGAGGCGGCAGCGGGGGAGCCACGCGGAGCGCCAUCGAGCGGAGAUCGGAGAGGAGGGUGGUGAUGGCGUCCCGGUCCUACUGACCAGAGAAACAAAUGAAUGAAGCCUAAUUGUAGCUGAAUCUCCACUUCAUUUGCCCCCACAUCCCCCCUUGGCACCUUUAUUCUGUCAAUCACUAAUGUAAGAGAACAAAACAACAGAAUUUGCUCACAUGACUUUGCUCGUGAUCUGUACAGUCAUUCACAAGUAACAUUCAUUGAGUAUGCAGAGUGGACAAGCCCUCGCGUUAGCAGCCAAUAUUUAGCUGAUAUAAUCAAAGCAGCAAACAUAAUGCUGACCAAUCACACGCUUUUCCUUAGUACUGACAAAAAAAAGCAUGCAAAGGGAGCGUAAGUCAGCGGAACCUACGCUUCACUGGCUCCCUGGUCCUCCCCCCUCUCACCCACCUCUCUCCAGGGGACUCCCCAGAUCAGGAAUCUAAGGGGCUAUAUAUAUUUUCUCAUUUAUCUGUGCAUUUGAUGUUGGUGCCGCCUCUCGCAGCGCCUUCUUCUUCCCGGUUGCCUCUCACAAAACACUAGAAAAUGGAGACACAAGAAUUUUUUGUGGCCGCAGCCUCACAGGCUCACACCACUGGCCU
rnacentral:lncRNA from 1 species